rnacentral:rRNA from 1 species
CAACUUUCAACAACGGAUCUCUUGGUUCUCGCAUCGAUGAAGAACGCAGCGAAAUGCGAUAAGUAAUGUGAAUUGCAGAUUUCAGUGAAUCAUCGAAUCUUUGAACGCACCUUGCGCUCCUUGGUAUUCCGAGGAGCAUGCCUGUUUGAGUGUCAUUA